UACGUAGGGGGCAAGCGUUAUCCGGAUUUACUGGGUGUAAAGGGAGCGUAGACGGCAUAGCAAGUCUGGAGUGAAAACCCGGGGCUCAACCCCGGGACUGCUUUGGAAACUGUUAAGCUGGAGUGCAGGAGAGGUAAGUGGAAUUCCUAGUGUAGCGGUGAAAUGCGUAGAUAUUAGGAGGAACACCAGUGGCGAAGGCGGCUUACUGGACUGUAACUGACGUUGAGGCUCGAAAGCGUGGGGAGCAAACAGG
rnacentral:rRNA from 1 species